rnacentral:rRNA from 1 species
AGGGUUUGAUUCUGGCUCAGGAUGAACGCUAGCUACAGGCUUAACACAUGCAAGUCGAGGGGCAGCAUGACCUAGCAAUAGGUUGAUGGCGACCGGCGCACGGGUGAGUAACACGUAUCCAACCUGCCGAUUAUUCCGGGAUAGCCUUUCGAAAGAAAGAUUAAUACUGGAUAGUAUAACGAAAAGGCAUCUUUUUGUUAUUAAAGAAUUUCGAUAAUCGAUGGGGAUGCGUUCCAUUAGCUUGUUGGCGGGGUAACGGCCCACCAAGGCAUCGAUGGAUAGGGGUUCUGAGAGGAAGGUCCCCCACAUUGGAACUGAGACACGGUCCAA